GUGAACGCUGGCGGUAGGCCUAACACAUGCACGUCGAACGGCAGCACAGUAAGAGCUUGCUCUUACGGGUGGCGAGUGGCGGACGGGUGAGGAAUACAUCGGAAUCUACUUUUUCGUGGGGGAUAACGUAGGGAAACUUACGCUAAUACCGCAUACGACCUACGGGUGAAAGCAGGGGAUCUUCGGACCUUGCGCGAUUGAAUGAGCCGAUGUCGGAUUAGCUAGUUGGCGGGGUAAAGGCCCACCAAGGCGACGAUCCGUAGCUGGUCUGAGAGGAUGAUCAGCCACACUGGAACUGAGACACGGUCCAGACUCCUACGGGAGGCAGCAGUGGGGAAUAUUGGACAAUGGGCGCAAGCCUGAUCCAGCCAUACCGCGUGGGUGAAGAAGGCCUUCUGGUUGUAAAGCCCUUUUGUUGGGAAAGAAAAGCAGCAGGUUAAUACCCCGCUGUUCUGACGGUACCCAAAGAAUAAGCACCGGCUAACUUCGUG
rnacentral:rRNA from 1 species